UGUUGCCAAAUUCUUUCAAUUAACUUCCUCUUCUUUAAUUGUAUUGACCAGCCGUGGGUUUGUCUCCAGAUUUUUGCAAUUAUCCGGCUAAACUCCUCUUUCCAGUCACGUGUUCUUGCCAGUUGCUUCAAGUUUUCCUUGCUCAUUCCCCCCCCUCUUAAUUAGGUCUUUUAGGUAGUAUUUAUAGUCUCCUCAAGUGUUGGACGAUUUUGGGUUGGAAUGGGCCGAGAAAGAAAUCCAAAAAUAUCAAAAUAUGUUUCCCCACAGAGUCAAAUUCAGCUUCAUGGGCGCUGCGGCGCCCGGUUCGGGUGAAAAAUUCUUUCUACGCGUCUUUCAGUAUUUUUAGUAUAACUUUCUCGUCCGAUGUCCAAUUGAGGUGAUUCAAAGCUCGUUAGAAAGCUAACUUAAAGGGGUAUAAAUUUUCUUCAGAUAUUAUUCUCCGCUUCGAUCGUUUGCUAUGUCAAAAAUGAGUCUCGAUGUGAGGCUAAAAUUCCUGAGCACAACUUUUCGAUUGAAAAUUGAUUUGUGAUCAUAUUUUGACUAAAUUUGAUCCAUUUGACAUCUUUUUUCCAUCCAAUUGACUCCUAACAUGCUCGGAUCUUCAUUGCGAGGUUCAACACAACUUUUUAAUAUUUGCGCUUUAGUCCCCGAACUUUGGAUCUCUUACAAUUUAGCAAUUUUCUCCAAUUUCGCCAACUUUUUUGCUUAUUUCUUUCAAUUUCAUCAACCUACAUCGCAACAUCAAAACACACAAUAAAAAGCUCUAAAACACUCUCAAGAGUAACAAAAUAACAAAUUAGGUGGCAUAAAUAUUAUGAGUGUAGAGCACUCAUCAUGGGGCAUGAGUUGAUUAUAUGGAUUUAACUCUUGAUGUUGUUGACUGAUACUUGUGUGAAUUCCUAAAUUCUUAGUAAGAAAUUGUUGUCAAUUUUAUUUCUGCAAGUGUACGGAUCGCAACGAGUAAUAAGUGGACCUAAGAGUCCGGAUUGUCGAUCCCACGAAAACUAACUCUAGUACUUAAUUCAAUUUUUUUGUCAACCACUAUUUGAUGAGAUAAAAACUUGUAGGACUUGAGUUUCAAUCUAAAUACUAGAAAAUAAGUGGAUACACACACGAUUGGUUUAAAAAUAAAAAAAUGAUGGAUGUUAGGGAAGAAUAAUUUCACCUAUUGAUCACCUUUACAUCUUAAAUUAAGAUUCAAUCUAAUAUAGUGUUCAAUUGAAUUCUCCUAUUGUAUUCAAUUUAUCCUUCUCAAGUUUUCAUUGAGUCUAUUUAACUAAUUAAAUUACAUAUCUCUAUGCAAAUUUAACUUUGUUAAAUGAGUUCUUUGUCCUAAGAAUUUAAUUACGACUGUAAUAAUUAAUAUAAGUAUCUCUACUCUUUAUACCAAUUUAUCAAAUUUUACUAUUUGACCUAAAUCCUAAACUCAUAUCUCUAUUCGUAAUGGAUCCACGAAAUCAUCAAAUUAGUGAUUAGAUAAUUUAAAUUAAGAUUUAAG
rnacentral:lncRNA from 1 species